UACAGAGGUCUCAAGCGUUGUUCGGAUUCAUUGGGCGUAAAGGGUGCGUAGGCGGCGCGGUAAGUCGGGUGUGAAAUCUCGGAGCUUAACUCCGAAACUGCAUUCGAUACUGCCGUGCUUGAGGACUGGAGAGGAGACUGGAAUUUACGGUGUAGCGGUGAAAUGCGUAGAUAUCGUAAGGAACACCAGUGGCGAAGGCGGCUCACUGGACCGGUAUUGACGCUGAGGUGCGAAAGCGUGGGGAGCAAACAGG
rnacentral:rRNA from 1 species